rnacentral:rRNA from 1 species
GAGAAGCUUGCUUCUCUGAUGUUAGCGGCGGACGGGUGAGUAACACGUGGAUAACCUACCUAUAAGACUGGGAUAACUUCGGGAAACCGGAGCUAAUACCGGAUAAUAUUUUGAACCGCAUGGUUCAAAAGUGAAAGACGGUCUUGCUGUCACUUAUAGAUGGAUCCGCGCUGCAUUAGCUAGUUGGUAAGGUAACGGCUUACCAAGGCAACGAUGCAUAGCCGACCUGAGAGGGUGAUCGGCCACACUGGAACUGAGACACGGUCCAGACUCCUACGGGAGGCAGCAGUAGGGAAUCUUCCGCAAUGGGCGAAAGCCUGACGGAGCAACGCCGCGUGAGUGAUGAAGGUCUUCGGAUCGUAAAACUCUGUUAUUAGGGAAGAACAUAUGUGUAAGUAACUGUGCACAUCUUGACGGUACCUAAUCAGAAAGCCAGGGCUAACUACGUGCCAGCAGCCGCGGUAAUACGUAGGUGGCAAGCGUUAUCCGGAAUUAUUGGGCGUAAAGCGCGCGUAGGCGGUUUUUUAAGUCUGAUGUGAAAGCCCACGGCUCAACCGUGGAGGGUCAUUGGAAACUGGAAAACUGGAGUGCAGAAGAGGAAAGUGGAAUUCCAUGUGUAGCGGUGAAAUGCGCAGAGAUAUGGAGGAACACCAGUGGCGAAGGCGACUUUCUGGUCUGUAACUGACGCUGAUGUGCGAAAGCGUGGGGAUCAAACAGGAUUAGAUACCCUGGUAGUCCACGCCGUAAACGAUGAGUGCUAAGUGUUAGGGGGUUUCCGCCCCUUAGUGCUGCAGCUAACGCAUUAAGCACUCCGCCUGGGGAGUACGACCGCAAGGUUG